GGAAGGGUGGCAGAGUGGUCGAAUGCGACAGUUUUGAAAACUGUUGACCAUGAAAGUGGUCCGUGGGUUCGAAUCCCACCCCUUCCG
rfam:Parcubacteria (Magasanikbacteria) bacterium GW2011_GWC2_41_17 TT49_C0008, whole genome shotgun sequence.